UCCCUGGAGGACUAGUGGUUAGGCCACAGCGCUCUCACUGCUGUGGCCCGGGUUCGAUUCCCGGCCAGGGAA
rnacentral:tRNA from 1 species